rnacentral:rRNA from 1 species
UACAGAGGGUGCGAGCGUUAAUCGGAAUUACUGGGCGUAAAGCGCGCGUAGGCGGCUUUGCAAGUCGGGUGUGAAAUCCCCAGGCUUAACCUGGGAACUGCAUUCGAGACUGCAUUGCUAGAGUAUGGGAGAGGGAAGUGGAAUUUACGGUGUAGCAGUGAAAUGCGUAGAUAUCGUAAGGAAGACCAGUGGCGAAGGCGAGUCUCUGGACAGUUACUGACACUGAGGCACGAAGGCCAGGGGAGCAAACGGG